AUGGGUUACAAUAUCUGGAGCCGCCUUGCUGUCACCAUCAACACUGCCUAUUUUUGCCUCUCCAAUGAGGUGGAGGCUGGCCAACUCCUUGGUUCGUGCCUUAUUCCUGUCUGUAAACAACCCUCUGAUGUCCAGAAUGACACCGUCCUUGGCAAUUUUUUUAAUCUCUCGGUCAAUUACUUGACCCUUUCCUCUUGGGGCCCGAUUACCAUGCGUAAGCCCCCUGACACUUUUUCUCUCCAUACCCCCUAUGUCGCCAGUGGCGGAAACGUCACGUGUGCCAAUUUUGUUAGUUGCACCCACGCUAAGGUUCCCCGGGGAUGUUUCUCCCCAGCGGGUCCUGAGCUUAAGUGUUCCUUUGCUAUGAAUACUUCUUUUAAUUACGCCCAUAUUGUCCUCCCUACGGGAUGGUUUUUUACUUGUGGUGCCCGUACUUAUAAUUAUGUCCCCGCUAAUCUUUCCGAAGGCUCUCUUUGUUGUCUUAGCAGGUUGACCAUUCUACUCCCGGCCUCGCCUUCCCACCGCCUUGCCCGGUCUCUCCCGGACUCCUGUGAUUCCUCUGUUAACCUCCUCAGUAAAGCGGAGACUGUGUCCCUCGCCGUUUCAAUUGUUGGCAUCCCUGCGCUCUCUAUUGCUACUCACAGCGAACUACAGCACUUGGCUUGCUUUGCGGCGAAAGCCAUCAACGCUACCUCCUCAGCCAUUGCUGCUCUUAACGCGGAACAACACGAGCUUCGGGAUGCGAUUCUUGAUGAUCGCGCUGCCAUUGAUUUUCUUUUGCUCAAACAUCACCAUGGUUGUUCUACUCUCCGUAAUAUGUGUUGUUUUAAUCUUACUGAUAAUAGCCGCUCCGUUGAGGACCGCCUUGCGGCGCUCAAGAACCUCGCGGCGCGUAUCUCCCAGGGUGUGGGCUGCAGUGGCUUUUGGGCCUGGCUCACGGGGUGGCUGCCGGAUUUUUUACCCCUUCGGUCUCUGUUUGGCUGUGGUGUUUUUGCCCUUGCUGGCCUGGUUGGCCUCUGUUGCUUUGCCCAGUGUAUCCCUUCCCUCUUAUCCCUUUGUCGCCCCCGCUCCCCCGUCCCUCUGUCCAUCCGCUCUCCCGUUCCGACCUGGGCCAGCUCCACAAGCAGCUCCAGGGUUACCUGGAGCCCACCAGUUUGA
rnacentral:lncRNA from 1 species